GGGAUUGGUGGAGCCCAGACCAACCGAGAAAGAUGGGUCCGCGUCUGAAACAAAGCACGCGAAGUGUUUUCCGAAGAACCGAGAAGGGGAAAAGCAGUUGGGGCAGCUUGUGUCCCGCUGCAAGGAGUAGGAGAGUCAGCUCUUCCCUUGCGCCCCACGCUACUCGUCGGGAUCUCCUGUUUGUCGCGCACGCCUCGGAACGGCUUUCUGCAGGAGCUGAGUCCUCGCUGAACUUCGACUGAGACUUCUCUUGCUGUUUCCUACAGCUAGAACCUGGAUAAAGAAUCGACGCAUCUUCAUUUACAGCAAACCCUCUGGUGAGGAACAAAUUCUUUCUUGUACAACAAUCCAUCCUCUCCCCUUUUUCGAAAUGCACUUCUUUUCCAGAGUCAACACACUUCUUUCUUCAUCACAGAUGGGCUAUUCUAAAGGCUUCGAAUGCUUCAUUGUCGGUGAUACACUUACGCGCGCCCCAGAACUCAGGCAGGAAACCAAGGGCCACGCUUUGGGCUCAGUCUGGCAAGCGGCUGGUUCAGGGGCCAAGUCACUAGCCCUCAAAGGACAAAUAAGCGUUAGCUAAGUGAGCCUAAGUCAUUGACGCUAAGAAGCGGUCCGGAAAAGCAAAACUGGCUGUUAUUUGGUGGAGGACGACGUUAAUUUAGAAGACUUCUGACCAUUGAAUUUAUUAAGUCAGGAAUUCGCAUCAUUUUCAUGAGUGCCGACCAUUUUUUUUUAAGACUUUCAAACCCACUCGUCAUACUCACCGUAUUAUUGUAGCAGAAAAAUAUUUUGAGAUAUUAAUGGAGGACCUUUCCCUCCAACCCCAACCACAACACAUACACCACUUCUCUGUGUGCCAUCCCGCGGCCAGGGCAUCCUACUCCUCCCGCCUCGGAGAAUAGAUGACACCACAAAUAACUGAUAACAAAACAGUCGUUUUGAUUUUAGACUUAUACAGCCAAGGCUUUUGAGUUCCAGGGUUCUGAAAUUUCGGUUUCAGAUCAUAGCCUUAAAUGUUGUGGGCAAAACAAGAUAUUUGAAAGAACAAGAACCAGUUUUUCCACCACACAUCACUCCCUUUAUAAUGUGCUGCAUCCCUUUUAAUUCCUAAUGUCUCAUUAAUACGUUAUAUCCCUAUCAUUUUAUACCUGUCACAUUUCUAUUAUUCAUACACUUAUGAAUCACUUCAUCAGUCAUAGAAUCUCAUAAUUGAACCCGAAUUUAUCCACUUCUGGUUCAAUUCAGGCAAGACAAAAAUCUCAUCUCAUCACUGGUGACAUUCACCCUGACAGAGCAUCAGCUGGGCCCUACAGGGAUGGAUCCUUGUGGAUGACUGGCUUGCUGUUCUUGGAUGAGCUAAUUCAGAAGAAAAAAUGGCACUUCAACAGAAUUUGGCAGGAGGAGACAGAACCAGAACCAGAAGCAGAACAUAAGGGAAUGGAACAUUGGGCUGGAUGAUCUCAGAGAUGAGCUCAGCUCAUUCCCUCGUAUCCCAGCUUCGCUCCCGGACAAUGCAAAGUCAGUCUCUCACCUUGCUGCCACUGUGUGGCCCCUUUCCAAAGAUGGCCAGUCUCGAAGGAGAGGCUGGACAAAAAGACAGUAGUUGGAGUUCCCGUUGUGACUCAGCAGUAACAAACUGGACUAGUAUCCAUGAGGAUGCAGGUUCGAUCCAUGGCCUUGCUCUGUGGGUUAAGCAUCUGACAAUACCGUGAGCUGUGGUGUAGGCUGCAGACUUGGCUGGAAUCAGGCGUUGCUGUGGCUGUGGAAUAGGCCACCAGCUGUGGCUCCAGUUCGACCCCUAGCCUGGGAACUUCCAUAUGCCGAGGGUGCGGCCCUAAAAAGACAAAAAAAAAAAAAAAAAAAAAAAAAAAAA
rnacentral:lncRNA from 1 species